rnacentral:misc_RNA from 1 species
AAAGCGCGAAAUGUAAUGUGAAUUGCAGAAUUCAGUGAAUCAUCGAAUCUUUGAACGCACAUUGCGCCCCCUGGUAUUCCGGGGGGCAUGCCUGUUCGAGCGUCAUUUCACCACUCAAGCCUCGCUUGGUAUUGGGCGACGCGGUCCGCCGCGCGCCUCAAAUCGACCGGCUGGGUCUUUCGUCCCCUCAGCGUUGUGGAAACUAUUCGCUAAAGGGUGCCGCGGGAGGCCACGCCGUAAAACAACCCCAUUUCUAAGGUUGACCUCGGAUCAGGUAGGGAUACCCGCUGAACUUAAGC